CCUACGCGAGGCUGCAGUGGGGGAUAUUGCACAAUGGGGGAAACCCUGAUGCAGCGACGCCGCGUGUGGGAAGACGGUCCUCUGGAUUGUAAACCACUGUCCCCAGGGACGAAGAUGACGGUACCUGGGGAGGAAGCUCCGGCUAACUACGUGCCAGCAGCCGCGGUAAUACGUAGGGAGCUCGCGUUGUCCGGAAUUACUGGGUGUAAAGGGAGCGUAGGCGGGGAUGCAAGUUGGGUGUCAAAACUACCGGCUCAACUGGUAGUCGCACUCAAAACUGCAGCGCUUGAGUGAAGUAGAGGCAGGCGGAAUGCCUAGUGUAGCGGUGAAAUGCGUAGAUAUUAGGAGGAACACCAGUGGCGAAGGCGGCCUGCUGGGCUUUUACUGACGCUGAGGCUCGAAAGUGUGGGGAGCAAACAGGAUUAGAUACCCGU
rnacentral:rRNA from 1 species